rnacentral:rRNA from 1 species
AGAUACCCUGGUAGUCCACGCCCUAAACGAUGAGUACUAAACGUUGGAUAAAACCAGUGUUGAAGUUAACACAUUAAGUACUCCGCCUGAGUAGUACGUACGCAAGUAUGAAACUUAAAGGAAUUGACGGGACUCCGCACAAGCGGUGGAUCAUGUUGUUUAAUUCGAAGGUACCCGAAAAACCUCACCAGGUCUUGACAUGCUUUUGCAAAGCUGUAGAAAUACAGUGGAGGUUAUCAGAAGCACAGGUGGUGCAUGGUUGUCGUCAGCUCGUGUCGUGAGAUGUUGGGUUAAGUCCCGCAACGAGCGCAACCCUUGUUGUUAAUUGCCAUCAUUAAGUUGGGGACUUUAGCAAGACUGCCAAUGAUAAAUUGGAGGAAGGUGGGGACGACGUCAAAUCAUCAU